GAUGAACGCUGGCGGCGUGCCUAAUACAUGCAAGUCGAGCGAACGGACGAGAAGCUUGCUUUUCUGAUGUUAGCGGCGGACGGGUGAGUAACACGUGCAUAACCUACCUAUAAGACUGGGAUAACUUCGGGAAACCGGAGCUAAUACCGGAUAAUAUUUUGAACCGCAUGGUUCAAAAGUGAAAGACGGUCUUGCUGUCACUUAUAGAUGGAUCCGCGCUGCAUUAGCUAGUUGGUAAGGUAACGGCUUACCAAGGCAACGAUGCAUAGCCGACCUGAGAGGGUGAUCGGCCACACUGGAACUGAGACACGGUCCAGACUCCUACGGGAGGCAGCAGUAGGGAAUCGUCCGCAAUGGGCGAAAGCCUGACGGAGCAACGCCGCGUGAGUGAUGAAGGUCUUCGGAUCGUAAAACUCUGUUAUUAGGGAAGAACAUAUGUGUAAGUAACUGUGCACAUCUUGACGGUACCUAAUCAGAAAGCCACGGCUAACUACGUG
rnacentral:rRNA from 1 species